GGGACAACAUUGGGAAACCGAUGCUAAUACCGCAUAUGAGUAUAUUUGAGAUAAUAUACUUGAAAACUGAGGUGCUCAUAGAUGAGUCUGCAUCUGAUUAGCUAGUUGGGGGUGUAAUGGACCACCAAGGCGACGAUCAGUAGCUGGUUUGAGAGGAUGAUCAGCCACAAUGGGACUGAGACACGGCCCAUACUCCUACGGGAGGCAGCAGUAGGGAAUUUUGCGCAAUGGGGGGAACCCUGACGCAGCAACGCCGCGUGAUUGAAGAAGCCCUUCGGGGUGUAAAGAUCUGUCAGUGGGGACGAAAGAUGACGGUACCCACAGAGGAAGCACCGGCUAACUCCGUGCCAGCAGCCGCGGUAAUACGGGGGGUGCAAGCGUUGUCCGGAAUCAUUGGGCGUAAAGAGUUCGUAGGUGGUAAGUUAAGUCUGGUGUUAAAUUCUGAAGCUCAACUUCAGUAGAGCACUGGAUACUGGCGAACUAGAAUGCGGUAGAGGUAAAGGGAAUUCCUGGUGUAGCGGUGAAAUGCGUAGAUAUCAGGAGGAACAUCGGUGGCGUAAGCGCUUUACUGGGCCGUAAUUGACACUGAGGAACGAAAGCCGGGGUAGCAAAUGGGAUUAGAUACCCCAGUAGUCCCGGCCGUAAACGAUGGAUACUAGGUGUUGCGGGUAUCGACCCCUGCAGUGCCGCAGCCAACGCGAUAAGUAUCCCGCCUGGGGAGUACGCACGCAAGUGUGAAACUCAAAGGAAUUGACGGGGACCCGCACAAGCGGUGGAACAUGUGGUUUAAUUCGAAGCAACGCGAAGAACCUUACCAGGGCUUGACAUCUAACUAAUUCUUAAGAAAUUAAGAAGUGCCUUUCGGGGAAAGUUAAGACAGGUGGUGCACGGUUGUCGUCAGCUCGUGUCGUGAGAUGUUGGGUUAAGUCCCGCAACGAGCGCAACCCACGUCGUUAGUUGGUCAU
rnacentral:rRNA from 1 species